rnacentral:lncRNA from 1 species
AAGACUGUACGAUUACAUGAACAAGAACUACUACGUCUGGCCUCAUAUGUGGGUGACGGCGGGUGAUGGCACGUGUGUGUUUUGUCUCCGAGAGGAAGCGGCUGUGGCGUCCCUUUGAAGGGGAGGAAGGGGGAAGAAGGGAGGGGAAGGGUGGAAUUUAUAUGGGGCACGAAUCAAGGGAUCAACUUUUCAGAUCCACAUGCAAGAGGGGGAAAGGGUGGGAGGGAGAGACUGAGGGAGGCCAGGAAAGGAGACUCUAACUCGGGAGUAGCGACUGAGUUGCACACGGGGGAAUGGAAAAGAGGCGUGGAAACCGGCUAGGGAGGUUUCGAUGGGUUGAGAGGGUGGGGCGAGCUUCCGGCAAAGCAGAUAACAGAAACAUCAAACCACCACCAGCACCAGCAGGCUCGGGAGCGCGGAGGGAGGGAGCAUCAUGAGCAUCACACCCUCGGCACCCCCCCAACCACUACCAGUUACUAGGGAGCCUUCAAGUACAAUAUAUGUUUUCUUGCCACUCCACCUUAAGUCUGCUCUGCUAAAGCAGACAGCGAUUUCAGCAGCGACUAUCAGACAGAGCGAAGCGGAGCACUUUAUGGCGGCUCGUUUGGGGGCGGCUUUUGCAGGCGAAAGCUCCCGAGCGCCUGAAGCACCUAUGGCGGUGUUAGCUGCUGCAGACUGUUGGCCACGCCCGCUAUACCGUUAUCCAUAAAAUUAAAGCAACUCAACCUCUGCACUGCGAAUCCACCGGAGACUUUCAGCUGACAAUCGUGAGCUGAUCUGUUGACUUCUCAGCAAUCCAAACCGCGAGUUGCCCGACCCGAUCUCCUCGGCUUCCUGUCCUCCUCCUGUAGCUUCCCUCCCGGUUGCUGCACUGCCACCACCACACACCACCGCCACAGAACACCUUCCAAACUCGUCGCGCCCCGGCAGCCAGCUCCCUACGCCUCCAUCCACCCGUUCUCCCUGCUUUAGGUCAUAUGCCUCUGCUAGAUGUUGACCCUCUUUCCCAAGCCCUUCCUAUGUUUCCUAUUUCCCGUUUGUUCCCUAAAAGUCCCUUCUGCCUGCCUGCCAGUCGACUCGUUCACCAGCAUGCGUGCAUGGCUCCUCGUCUCACAUGUUCUCCUUCUGCCCCUUCUUCUUCAAAUUCUUGGUGUUCUGAUUUGGACUUUGCAACCCUUGUCUUUUU